rnacentral:rRNA from 1 species
CACGCCGUAAACGAUGUCUACUAGAAGCUCGGAACCUCGGUUCUGUUUUUCAAAGCUAACGCAUUAAGUAGACCGCCUGGGGAGUACGGCCGCAAGGUUAAAACUCAAAUGAAUUGACGGGGGCCCGCACAAGCGGUGGAGCAUGUGGUUUAAUUCGAUGCAACGCGAAGAACCUUACCUACACUUGACAUACAGAGAACUUACCAGAGAUGGUUUGGUGCCUUCGGGAACUCUGAUACAGGUGC